rnacentral:lncRNA from 1 species
CUUCAAAAUGUAUAUGAAAUAUAAAAGAUAUUGACCUAAUAGCCUAAUUCAACAACUCUGCCUCUGCUGCCCCAUUCUACCACCACUACUACUGAUGAGUACAACUGCAAAGAAGUACUGUCCCCCAAUACCCCCCCCCCCAACCCAACCCAACCCCCCCCCCCCCCCCCCCCAUAUGAGCACAACCACCAGCACCACUCCACCUACACUCCAACCACGACCCGUGAUGAGGACAUCGGACGACGUUUACUUAUUUUAUUUAAGUUUUAUUUAUUUUCUGGGACUAUUAUUUAAAUUUGGACUUGUAUGGACUCGGGCCCAAGCUCGUUAGGGUUGCUUUACUAUUUAAGCCUAUUUUGCAUUGUAAUUUUCAGUUGAUGAUGAAUGAAUAAUUAUUUUGGUGGCUUAUGGCGCAUCCCUCCCCUUCUUCUAUUGAAUUCUUCUUCUAUCCCCUCUCUUAAUUCCCUAUUCAUUCUGAAUCUUUCUUCUAUUUCUAUUAAUCAUCAUAUUGGUGCUGCAUCAAAUUUGGUACCAGAGCCUAAAUUUGGGUAAUCUCUCAUUUUCAAUCCAAAAAUCUCUUUCUAUUUCUUUCCUAAGAACUUGUGGAACAACACACACAAAUAAACUUUUAGCAUGAGCAGCCAAGUUAUUAUUUUUCUAGCUUCUUCAUAGUUGUUCCAAAAAAAAAAAACUGUUCACGUUACUGUUCACAAGCGGAAAUUUCAGUUUAGGUUUUUUUUGCAAUUUCAGUUCACAUCCCAGCCAAAAAAAAAAAUUCGUGUUACUAUUCACGGGUACUAUACACACCCGAAAAUUCAUUUUUUUGUAUUAUCAGUUUCAAAAAAAAAAAAAAAAAAGAAAUUACUGUUCACACCAAAAAAAAAAAAUCUCAUUUUUUUCCCUCCUGCUGCUCAUAAAUAAAAAAAAAAAUUGUGGUUUGUUCCACAAAUCCCUAACCCUAGCAUUCAAGCCUACUUAGCCCUUCAACCCAUAUAUUCCAUCUCUAUAAUCUACUCCAUUCAUUUUUUUAUCAAAACACUUGAGUCAUAAGCUAGUGGCCCAAAUUACUCCCAAAGCCCACUAAACGUACAGCCCAUCUCUCAUCAUCUAUUUAGCCAAUCCACUUGUUUUUCAGUCCAAUAAACACUAAAUCCAACCCACUUAUCACAUAUUAUCACAAUCGGCCCAAUACCAUUCAGCCCAUAAUCAGUCCCAAAUAUCCAACCAAACUCGAUUAUAACCAAUCCAUUAAAAUCAAAUACCCCACAGUUUCACCCGAUUUCUCUCAUAACCACUCUCUUGCCGCUGCCUCCUCUAAUCACCAUCACGCCACCACUUCAUUAUUUAUUGUACCCAGGCAUCCAGAGCACUACUGCUUCAUCGCCAUAUGCCACCACCACCUACCCAAGAUCAUACACUUCCACCACAAUUACCACAUUCUUAUAUUUUCUCAUCCAUCACAACAAUCUAAAAGCCACAGUCACUACACACAGUUUUACAUCCACACCAGAACCAGCACAAGUUACUGUCUACAGGGGCUAAAACCAUUGGAUACGAAAGGAAGAACGGAAGCAUAGUUGGAGUUUAUAAGUCGACAAUUCAGAUUAAGCGGCAUACAAAUAAUCAAAACUAAACAACAUGGAGUCCUUGAUCUCUAUUUAGUAUUGAUUUAUACUACUACAUUUUUAAAAUUGCAUCAAUUAAAAUCUUGUACUGCUGUUAUUGUGAUAAUUUUAGCCUUAAAUCUCACUGGGUCAAAACCAUUAAUCGAAUUGACACCAGCGACCAAAUUGAGUUCCAUUGUUCCCCACUUAAAUUGAUUGGAGAAUUUGACUAGUGUUGACCCUUGUUUUGCCAUUUUACAUGUACUAGCAGUAUUAUCUUGUUUUGGAUUUAAUUAAUCCCAAUAUUUAAAAUUAAAUUAAAAAAAAUGGUACAAGUUAUUUUCCAUUGCUUGCACGUAUUGUUCACUGAUCUCAUCAUAGCACGUCAUUUAACUGGUAUUACAUUGCAUGUAGUUGCAUAGUGGUCGUCUUGUCAUCUCUAUUUUCAAUACAUUGACCAUGGAUCCAUCCCAAUUUGAUGCACUUACUAGACAAUUAGCGCAACUUGCCACUAGCCUAUCGACUGUCCAAUCAGAUAUAACUGCUACUCGUGAGUAGAGAAAGAACCUAGCUGCUAAGUUGAGCAAUUUUAAGCGAACCCCUCGUUUAACUGACACUAAUUCUGAAGCGUCUCAUAAUAGACAAUAUUAUCGUGGGCAAAGUGAUCAAAAAUAUUCGUAGGAAUAGGGAUUAGAUUCGUAAGCGAGAACGAGAUAAUUUUGAAAUUUUUACUCAAUGGAAUGCCCUUAAACAAGGAAAUCAAUUAGUGACUAGUAUAUUGCGCAAUUUGAGGAAUUUCGAACCAAAUGUCAUUUAAUUGAGGAUGAAAGCAUGACUUUAAGUAGGUUUAGCCAAGGUCUGAGAGAUGAUCUUAAGCUCGAGCUUUUCCUUCGAGGUGUCACUACUCUUGAUCACGCUUAUUCUUUAGCUCGAGAUUAUGAGUUGAUUAUUAGUACUCCAUAUGAAAAGCGUGGUCAUCAUCGUUCACCAAUCUCAUUAGCGUCGCCUCAUCAUAAGUCUAUCAUAAAACCUUCUCCGUCUAAUGUUCCUCCUGUUUGGAAAAAUAAUUGUAAAGGUCGUGAUAGUUCAAGAUCUUCUUCUUCAUGUAGAAAGCGUAAUGGCAAUCAUCUUUCGGUUUCAUUGGCUCCACUUCCUCCUGUUAAGUCUCUUCUAAUGUUCCUCUAAUUUUGGAAAAUGAGGGUAUAAUUUGUGAAACUCCAAAGACUUCUCACUUGCUAUGCAUCAGCUGUAAGAAUUUUGGCCACAUCUCUUCCAAAUGUCCUAAACGAGCCUUAGUCAUAGAAGAACGAAAGAAUGCAAUAGAAAAGUCGUUAGAAGAUCUAGCAUAUGGCCCUAAACUUGAAGAUUUUGAUGAUUACAGUGAGGACACUUCCUUAAGUGGAAUCCCGACCCUUCCCGAGACUUUAGAAACUAUACCCCUUGUUUCCGACAACUCUCGAUCACAUGUUAUAUGUCAUACCCUUACCCAACUCAAAGAGUUUGAUGAUUUUUGAGGUUGGUCAGAAGUGGAGAAUCCAGUCGCUUGUUGUUAGCACUAAAUCGAAAUUCUCCACUACUGACCAACCUCAAACUGAUGGUCAAAUCGAAAUUGCUAACCGAAGUCUUGACAAUUUAUUACAGUCUCUAGUACAGAAAAAUCUUGAGAAUUGGGACUCGAUCCCCCCAACUGUUCACAUCGCAUAUAACAAUUCUAUGAAUCGGUUUCUAGGUCUAAAUCCAUUUGAAGUUGUUUAUAGUUAUAAGUCUAAGCGACCGUUAGAUCUUAUUCCCAUGUCCCCAUAUGCUAGUGUGUCGUUGUCAGCUGAAGCAUUUGUAUAUCAUCUUCAUAAUUUGCAUAUUGAGAUCAAUAAACAACAUGACGCAAGUAAUGUAUUAUAUAAAAUUCAAGCUGAUUCGCAUAAACGAUAUUUUGAAUUUAAUAUUGGGGAUUAUGUCAUAUUGCAAGCUUGUAGUGUCGGUCCAUUAAAAAUUUUAAAGCAUGUUGGUUCAAAUGCACAUGUCAUUGCCCUUUCAUCACAUUUUGGCUACCACUCUACUUUAAAUAUUGAGAACUUCAUUACUUACAAACACCGUAUUACUUUCUUUGAUGAUCCAUUUCUACCUAUCUUUGUGGACCCCCAAUUUGACUAUAUUGAUAUUUCUACUUUUAUACCAUCUAUCACAGCAUACAAAGAUAAAAUUGAUGUUAUUUUAGAUGAACGUGUUAUAUUGACUAAUGAUGGUAAAAUUCAGUACUUCCUUGUUUGUUGGGUAGAUCGACGUGCUUCUUAUACUCCUCAUUAUGUACAAUCGUGUGAAAAUUUUGAAGAUAAGGUGCAUGAGUAUUGGUUAUUUGGAAUCCAGUAUCAGUACUUGGUUAGAAGGAAAGAUCGCCCCCCUUGGUCAGAUCAUAUUCUUUGGAAUAAGCAACAGUUUUCAGUACUAUCAAUUAUGAAAUUUCGUUACUUGGUUCGUCAGAAAGAUCGUCUCCUGUGGCUUGAUUUGAAGCAUUUGGAGUAUCAGAUUGAUUGCAACUUAUACUAUCUAUCAAUUUGACAGGGUCGAGUUUUUCUCCCAUCCCGGGAGAGUUGAUGAGGACAUCGGACGACGUUUACUUAUUUUAUUUAAGUUUUAUUUAUUUUUUUGGACUAUUAUUUAAAUUUGGACCUGUAUAGGCUCGGGCCCAAACUCGUUAGGGUUGCUUUACUAUUUAAAUCUAUUUUGCAUUGUAAUUUUCAGUUGAUGAUGAAUGAAUAAUUAUUUUGGUGGCUUAUGACGCAUCCCUCCCCUUUUUCUAUUGAAUUCUUCUUCUAUCCCCUCUCUUAAUUCCUCAUUCUUUCUUAAUCUUUCUUCUAUUUCUAUUAAUCAUCAUAUUGGUGCUGCAUCAACCCGUGUUUAGUCAGAUCCCCACCACACUUCUGUCCCACCCAGACCACUCAAAAAAUUGAGGGAACUUUCUACGACAAUCAAAUGAAUCAAAUAUAAACUUGGGGUUUCCUUUUUAUUUCCUUGAACUCAUUGAAACCCUCAUUCAUGUGCAAUCUAUAUCUGGAAUCUGCUGGUGGUAGUAAUAUUAGCAGCACAAGUAGUUGUUGCUCUCCCAACAAUGGUGUUUAAUAUUCUCAAAAAACCCCCAAUUGGUGUCAUGAACAUCAUUAUUUGAUGUUCCUUUGGAAUAAUGAAUCAUAGUACCGAGCUAGAUGGUGAUAUUCAAUGUGCUAAAAUUAGUUGCUUUUCUUUCCUCCCUAUUCAAAUCAGUCUGAUUAGUUUGAGGAGUUCAUGGGAUUUCUCUCUUCAGUUAUCCAUAUUAGAGAAUUACUUGUUCUCUUAAAAAAUUGCCACACCUCUUUUAUUAAUAAAUUUGCGUUUCUUAUAAAAUAAAUAACUAAAUUGAAGUCAGAACGCAGGAAUGGACAAAAUUGUUAACAAUUGUAUCAACAUUUUUCUUUGUAUGUUAUCUAUCUAUCUAUAUAGAUUUCAAUAUAGUUAUUUCUUUACUGAUAUAUUUGCUGAAGAAUGGUUCUCUCUUACUGAAUAUACCUCUCAGAGUUCUAUUUAUAGAAGUCCUAUACAGACUUGGAUAUUAACCAAGAAAAUCUAUUACAGUAACGUUUAUAUUCUGUUCAGGUGCGCCGUAUCCAGAGUUUUGUGGAGACGAUGGACAUCCUCAAGUCGAAAAACUCCAAUCCCUUUAGCAACACUGGCAAUUCUGCUUCAGUUUCGACUGAGUGGGAGACAUUUGAAUCUGGUUCUAGUAGUGUAAAUGCCCUGCCAACUGGACCAUCUUCUACUAAGCUAACUCAUGAUUGGGAACAAUUUGACUAGUCCAUUUCUGGAUUGUACUAUCAUAAUACCAAAUGAAUUCAAAAUACUUGCUUUGUGUUGUUGCUAAAUUGACAUCUUUGAUGUUCAAAACCUUUUCUUUUGGCUAUAGACUUAGUAAAUAUUUUAUGUACAGACAAAUGGUUUUAUUACCUAUCAAUCUCUGUUGGUGCUUAUUUAUAUUAUCCAUUCUUCCUAUCAAUUAAGGGGUGACAAACAUGUUGAGUCGGCUUGGCCUCGUUUCGAAGCCAGACACCCUUUUAUUUCACGAGUUGAGCGAGCUCGACUUGAUCGAGCUCAUGGGUUGACUAGUUUUUGGACUUGUAUUAUUAUUAUUAUUAUUAUAAAAAAAGAGUUGGCACGUGGAUGGCUCGUUUGAAUCCGUAAUGUUCACGAGCCUAAGGGCUUAAUUGAGG